AGAGUUUGAUCCUGGCUCAGAUUGAACGCUGGCGGCAUGCUUUACACAUGCAAGUCGAACGGUAACGCGGGGGCAACCCUGGCGACGAGUGGCGAACGGGUGAGUAAUACAUCGGAACAUGUCCUGGAGUGGGGGAUAGCUCGGCGAAAGCCGGAUUAAUACCGCAUACGCUCUGAGGAGGAAAGCGGGGGACCCGCAAGGGCCUCGCGCUGCAGGAGUGGCCGAUGUCGGAUUAGCUAGUUGGUGAGGUAAAGGCUCACCAAGGCGACGAUCCGUAGCUGGUCUGAGAGGAUGAUCAGCCACACUGGGACUGAGACACGGCCCAGACUCCUACGGGGAGGCAGCAGUGGGGAAUUUUGGACAAUGGGGGCAACCCUGAUCCAGCCAUGCCGCGUGAGUGAAGAAGGCCUUCGGGUUGUAAAGCUCUUUCGGGAUGGAACGAAAUGGUUACGGUGAAUAGCCGUGACUNGAUGACGGUACCGUAAGAAGAAGCACCGGCUAACUACGUGCCACCAGCCGCGCGUAAUACGUAGGGUGCGAGGCGUUAAUCGGAAUUACUGGGCGUAAAGCGUGCGCAGGCGGUUCGCCAAGUCAGGUGUGAAAUCCCCGGGNCUUUAACCUGGGAAUUGCGCUUGANACUAGCGGGCUUGAGUGUGGGCANAGGGGGGUGGAAUUCCACGUGUAGCAGUGAAAUGCGUAUAGAUGUGGCANGAACACNGA
rnacentral:rRNA from 1 species